rnacentral:lncRNA from 1 species
UGUCCGCUCCGGCCAGGCCAGGUCACGCCGGCCCUUGGCUGGGGCCCUGCUCAGAGGCCAGUUUAAUUAAUGACAGUAGGACAAAUACUGCAGCGCUUCCGGGAAACUGCUGGCAGGGUUUUAGCUGUCCUGCUGAGCCCUGGUGCCAUGUGGGUGACGGGCGCCAUGAGCCCAGGCAGCAUCCUGCCCGGAGCUGGAGCUGUUUGGGGGCAACCGGCUGGAUGUGGGGGGAGAGGGGCAGAGCCAGGCCAUGCCAGGGGGUGACCUUUCCUUAUCACCCCCCCUGCGACGUGCUGCUCCAGUGCUGCCCUCAACCUUCCCGCGCGUCCCUGGGGGACAGCGUGUGACAGCCAGCUCCGCGGCGGCUGAGAGCCCGUGGGUGGCCUGUGCCACAAGGAGAGGGGGAACAACGAAGGCAGUUCAGCCCAGCUGGCCUCGUGCGGGAAACAUGAGCAUCCGAGCCUCCACACCCCGGCGGGGGAGAGGGGGCAAGCGGGACCCCAGGAUCUGCCCUCCUCAAAGCCCCCGCGGCACCGUCACGAAGCUCGCUGCAUCCCUGCACCACCCUGCUAACCUCCCCACGUCUAUUUGUUGCAGUGAUCCGAGCAAAGGCCGUCUCUGCGAAAGAGGUGGAUUCAGGGAACGAUAUAUAUGGGAAUCCGAUCAAGCGAAUCCAGUACGAGAUCAAGCAGAUCAAGGUACGGGGACGCGGCGUGGGGCCGGGGCGGGCAGGGCAGAGCUGCCGGGCAGCAGCAGCCAGGCACUCACUCGUGCUCUUUCGUUGCAGAUGUUUAAAGGCCCUGACAAAGACAUAGAGUUCAUUUACACGGCUCCGUCCACGGCUGUGUGCGGUCGGGGGGUGCGGGAAGAAGGAGUAUCUCAUUGCAGGUGUUAGAAUUGCACUUAUUUUUGUAAAGGGUUUCUGCAUUGGGCGCUUCCAACACAAAGUGGGAAGAUUGUCAAGCGAAUUUGCGGAGGGUUGACUCCUCCGGCUCUUCCUAUUAGCAGGUUAGUUGGUGUCCGCCUCCCCCUCCUGCCUCCCGCGUCCCG